rnacentral:rRNA from 1 species
UACGUAGGGUGCGAGCGUUGUCCGGAAUUAUUGGGCGUAAAGAGCUUGUAGGCGGUUUGUCACGUCUGCCGUGAAAAUCCGGGGCUCAACCCCGGACUUGCGGUGGGUACGGGCAGACUAGAGUGUGGUAGGGGAGACUGGAAUUCCUGGUGUAGCGGUGAAAUGCGCAGAUAUCAGGAGGAACACCGAUGGCGAAGGCAGGUCUCUGGGCCACUACUGACGCUGAGAAGCGAAAGCGUGGGGAGCGAACAGG